AGUCGGACGGGCCGCGGGGACGUGGGCGCCGCUCCGGAGCUCGCCGGGGACGGGCGCGGGGGCGCCUCGCGGGGACCCUCGGAGGGACGCCGAGCCCAGGACGCCGCGGAGACGAGCGCAGCUGGCAGAGGCCGGCCGGGCGUGGGGGUUGGGGGCCGGCCGACUGGGUGGGACAGGAAAAGAGGAGAGAAACCGCCCUCUGCAGGUUCCCUCUGCCGCCGGGCCGCCUCUGCUCCCCCGGGAGGAAGAGCUGCCUUUCCUUCAGCGAUUGUCACUCUACUCUCCAUCCGGAGCCGCUUCCUCCCUCGCCCCGAGGCUCCACAGGGCAGGGGAUCUGAACCCGGGGCUGACUGGGAUCGGUUCGCUCUCCCCGCGACUGACGUUCUGUGAACUUUCAGCAAAUGCGGGAAGUUACAUUUCCUUGCGUUUGCCUCUCUUUUACGUAAAUAGGUCUGUGUCCAGAAGUUCGGGACGUAAGCUGACUUUGUGGGCACUGUCCGGCCGGGAGGCAGGGAGAGGAAGUGGGGAUGGGAGAGUUUCCCCACCCAGAUCUUCCCUGACUCACAUGCAUCUGGGACAGUGUGGAGCAGAGGUUAAGGGCGUCGUGGACUUUGGAGUCAAACAGUCCCACCUCCGCGGCUUGUUAAUUGUGUGACUUUGGGCAAAAUAUUUAACGUCUCUAAGUCUCUGCCCUCAUCCCUGAAUGGGGCACUGAAAGUAACAAUGCCUGCGCAGCCAUUUCAUAGCCACGAUUCUAGCACUUGGUGAAUGCCUCAAUUUAACUAUUAAUCAAUGCCAUACUAUAGCCACCUCUUGACUUGCUUCUUGGUGGCAGGAAAUGUUCCCAAACUAAUGAGGAACUCAAUGACUAAGGAUGUAAUAGUUUAACGUGGGCUCUGGAAUUGCUCUGCUAUUGACCUUGGACAAAUCACUGGUUUCAUUCCUCUGGGGCAACACCUGUGUCAGAGUUACUGCGGGGGUGGGAAUGAGUUAAUACAUCUGAAGCAUUAGAACCUUACCUGGCACACGGUAGAAUCAAUAACCUUGCCUCAGUGGAGAACAGUGUGCUGGGCUGGAACAAUUCCCCGUGUCAAACAAAGAAUCCACACGUAGAAUAACAGUUUAUUCAACAAUCUGAAAAUCUGUUCUUUAAGUCUUGCAAAAUGAGUGCUUCCCUGUCUUGCCAGACUCUGAAAACACCUGUGGAUCAAAGUGUACAAUGUAGAAGUCCUGCACCCUCACACCCCGAUGCCACCCUUGCGCUCUCUGUCCAGGUUAGCACCUCUCAGAUAACAGGAGGCUCCCACGGUAAGCUGGUCAACCUUCAGUUAGGCAUAGGUAGUAGCGUGCUGUGAUCUGAGGGGUACCAGACAUCCCAGAUAUCCACACGGCUCAUGCCCUGGCCUCUUUCAUUGCCCAACGCCACCUUCUCUGACCACUCUGUUUAAAAUUGCAAUUCAGGCCCCACUCCCUGUGCCUUCCCCUACUUAAUUUUUCUCCAUAUCUCUUAUUGCCACUACAUUAUAAUUUUACUUAUUUAUUCUGUUUCUUGUCUAUCCUUCCCCCCGCGCCCCCACCACUAGAAUGUAAGCUGCAGGAAGGCAGAGAAUUUCCUGUUUUGUUCACUGUGAUACUCCCCUUCCUAGGAAGGUGCCUGGCACAUAGUGCAGGCUCGAUAAGUAAUUGUGGAAUGAAUGGAUGAAUCCUGAUGCCACUGAGUCAGAUGUCUUACCAUGAUCCUCUCUACAGUGCACCUGACAGUUGAUCUCACAGCCCUGGCUUUUAACACCAAGGAAGGAGAACUAUUUCCCAAGGUGGCCCAUCCCAUUUUAGUUUUUGGAAGCUCCUUGUAUACCCUUUCCCCUAUAUCUAAAAAAAUUUUUUUCCAUACCAUUUUUGUGUGUGUGUGAGGAAGCUUG